rnacentral:rRNA from 1 species
CACGGGGGGAGCAAGCGUUGUUCGGAUUCAUUGGGCGUAAAGAGCUCGUAGGCGGCUCUGUAAGUCGGAGGUGAAAUAUCACGGCUCAACCGUGAAAACGCCUUCGAAACUGCGGAGCUUGAGGCCGGGAGAGGAAAUCGGAAUUCCUGGUGUAGCGGUGAAAUGCGUAGAUAUCAGGAGGAACACCGGUGGCGAAGGCGGAUUUCUGGACCGGUUCUGACGCUCAGGAGCGAAAGCCAGGGGAGCAAACAGG